UUUAUGUGUGGUUGGAAACUGUAUUCCCUUGAUUCUUUAUUCAUGUUACUGGCAAUAGCUUUAUCGUUGACAUAUUUUUAUAAUACUUUAUACGUUUUUUCUUAAAUGGAUUUUUGUUGUUUGUGUUACUUUGUACGUUUAGUUUCUGGUUAUGUUUUGAAUAUUUUUGGUGUAAUCGAGUAUACUUGUGAGAUUGGGAUCACUGUUUGGUUGUGUUGUAUCAUUUGUUUGAAGAAAAAUAACAUAACAACUGUUGUUUAAAUCAUAAAACAACAUUUUGAUUUGUUUAUAUUAGUAUCGGGUGUUGCAUAUGUAUUCCAAUGUUGUAGAGAUACCAUGUAAUUUUGAUCUUUGUAUUUUUAUAAUUUAUCAUGUACCACUUGAU
rnacentral:lncRNA from 1 species